AUUGAACGCUGGCGGCAGGCCUAACACAUGCAAGUCGAGCGGAUGAAGGGAGCUUGCUCCUGGAUUCAGCGGCGGACGGGUGAGUAAUGCCUAUGAAUCUGCCUGGUAGUGGGGGAUAACGUCCGGAAACGGGCGCUAAUACCGCAUACGUCCUGAGGGAGAAAGUGGGGGAUCUUCGGACCUCACGCUCUCAGAUGAGCCUAGGUCGGAUUAGCUAGUUGGUGGGGUAAAGGCCUACCAAGGCGACGAUCCGUAACUGGUCUGAGAGGAUGAUCAGUCACACUGGAAGUGAGACACGGUCCAGACUCCUACGGGAGGCAGCAGUGGGGAAUAUUGGACAAUGGGCGAAAGCCUGAUCCAGCCAUGCCGCGUGUGUGAAGAAGGUCUUCGGAUUGUAAAGCACUUUAAGUUGGGAGGAAGGGCAGUAAGUUAAUACCUUGCUGUUUUGACGUUACCAACAGAAUAAGCACCGGCUAACUUCGUG
rnacentral:rRNA from 1 species